rnacentral:rRNA from 1 species
GAUGAACGCUGGCGGCGUGCCUAAUACAUGCAAGUCGAGCGAACAGACGAGGAGCUUGCUCCUCUGACGUUAGCGGCGGACGGGUGAGUAACACGUGGAUAACCUACCUAUAAGACUGGGAUAACUUCGGGAAACCGGAGCUAAUACCGGAUAAUAUAUUGAACCGCAUGGUUCAAUAGUGAAAGACGGUUUUGCUGUCACUUAUAGAUGGUUCCGCGCCGCAUUAGCUAGUUGGUAAGGUAACGGCUUACCAAGGCAACGAUGCGUAGCCGACCUGAGAGGAUGAUCAGCCACACUGGAACUGAGACACGGUCCAGACUCCUACGGGAGGCAGCAGUAGGGAAUCUUCCGCAAUGGGCGAAAGCCUGACGGAGCAACGCCGCGUGAGUGAUGAAGGUCUUCGGAUCGUAAAACUCUGUUAUUAGGGAAGAACAGAUGUGUAAGUAACUAUGCACGUCUUGACGGUACCUAAUCAGAAAGCCACGGCUAACUACGUG